UUCCCAUUAUAUAAUAAUUAACAUGUUAUUACAAGAAAUUGAAUAUAGUUACCUGUGCUAUACAGUAGUAAAACUUUAAAGAAAGCUAAUUCAAAACAUUUUCAGACAAAAGCAGUAUUUGCCACUCCAAACAGGUAAUACAGGAUGUCCUGAGGCAGAAGGAAAAUGAUCUGAAAUGGAAAUGCAAGAAGGAACACUGACCAAAGAUAGUGGUCAACGAUGUUGGUGAAAGAUUCUGAGGCUUUGAAAAUUGUCUCUAACCAUUGGAGGAACAGUUGAAUAUUUGAAGACUCUCACUUGGGCUGUAGGCAGAAGAUUGGAGGUAGGGAAAGCAGCUAAGAGACUGUUGUGAUAUCACACAUGAAUGAGAAGUUUGUUUUGAGGGGAAUUCAGCUAAUGAAGAUUCGGUCCAGGAGGUGAACCUUUUAUGAUAGUAUUUGUAAUACUUGUUUCCCAGUUUGCAAAGGACAAUCAAGAGGGUGUGGAAAUAUGCUCAUUCCUUUAAUAAAGUCAGUCUCACUGAGCACCUCCUAGAGUUGGGGCUGGAACCCCGCUCCCUCCUCUGUCCCAUUCUUGGCAGAGCACUAGAACUUGUCCUCCUUGCUGCAGUCUCAGCGUCUUCGACCAGUCUCUAGUCUGGUCCUCCUGUGCAACCAUGACUGAUAGUGUGGGGAGGAAGGGAAUGCUGCCGGUUACCUGGGCUCAUGGUGACCACUUCUAUCAUUGCUGCCCCCUCUCAACUACAGCUGCCUCAGAUCGAGCCCACCAGGACUACUUGACAGUCUCCAGCUUCUUAUAUGAGGUGAACUCCAAACUGUAAAACCCACCAAUUAAGCACCUUUUCUUCCCUUAUCUCCACAACGUUGCCUAGGAAAGUCCACCCACCUUCCCCCCAUUACUCUCCCUUGGAGAUGAUGUCACCCUAAGCCACACACCCACACACCAAGCUCCUGGGGCUAAUAACAGCCAUUAACAUUCCAGACUUACAGGUGAAAACAGUUCAGUUACCUCCUCAUGGUUCUGCACCUCCUUGGCUUUCGCAUCACUCCAUC